rnacentral:rRNA from 1 species
UACGGAGGGUGCAAGCGUUAUCCGGAUUCACUGGUUUAAAGGUGCGUAGGCGGGCAGGUAAGUCCGUGGUGAAAUCUCUGAGCUUAACUCAGAAACUGCCAUGGAUACUAUUGUCUUGAAUAUUGUGGAGGUAAGCGGAAUAUGUCAUGUAGCGGUGAAAUGCUUAGAUAUGACAUAGAACACCAAUUGCGAAGGCAGCUUACUACACAGUUAUGACGCUGAGCACGAAAGCGUGGGGAGUCAAACAGGAAUUA